GACGAACGCUGGCGGCGUGCCUAAUACAUGCAAGUUGAGCGCUGAAGGUUGGUACUUGUACCAACUGGGUGAGCAGCGAACGGGUGAGUAACGCGUGGGGAAUCUGCCUUUGAGCGGGGGACAACAUUUGGAAACGAAUGCUAAUACCGCAUAAAAACUUUAAACACAAGUUUUAAGUUUGAAAGAUGCAAUUGCAUCACUCAAAGAUGAUCCCGCGUUGUAUUAGCUAGUUGGUUAGGUAAAGGCUCACCAAGGCGAUGAUACAUAGCCUACCUGAGAGGGUGAACGGCCACAUUUGGAAUGAGACACGGCCCCAACUCCUACGGGAGGCAGCAGUAGGGAAACUUCGGAAAUGGACGAAAGUCUGACCGAGCAACGCCGCGUGAGGGAAGAAGGUUUUCGGAUCGUAAAAGUCUGUUGGUAGAGAAGAACGUUGGGGAGAGUGGAAAGCUCAUCAAGUGACGGUAACUACACAGAAAGGGACGGCUAACUACGUG
rnacentral:rRNA from 1 species